rnacentral:rRNA from 1 species
UACGUAGGGGGCAAGCGUUGUCCGGAUUUAUUGGGCGUAAAGAGCGUGUAGGCGGCCAGGUAGGUCUGCUGUGAAAACUCGAGGCUCAACCUCGAGACGUCGAUGGAAACCAUCUAGCUAGAGUCCGGAAGAGGAGAGUGGAAUUCCUGGUGUAGCGGUGAAAUGCGCAGAUAUCAGGAAGAACACCCGUGGCGAAGGCGGCUCUCUGGGACGUGACUGACGCUGAGACGCGAAAGCGUGGGGAGCGAACAGG